UGAAGGUGGUGAUGAUGAUGAUGGUGGUGAUGGUGGUGGUGACCAUCAUCAUCACCAUCACCAUCACCAUCAUCAUCAUCAUUACUA
rnacentral:pre_miRNA from 1 species